AAUAUUGGACAAUGGGCGAAAGCCUGAUCCAGCCAUGCCGCGUGUGUGAAGAAGGUCUUCGGAUUGUAAAGCACUUUAAGUUGGGAGGAAGGGCAGUAAGUUAAUACCUUGCUGUUUUGACGUUACCGACAGAAUAAGCACCGGCUAACUUCGUUCCCGCAGCCGCGGUAAUACGAAGGGUGCAAGCGUUCAUCGGAAUUACUGGGCGUAAAGCGUGCGCAGGCGGUUGAUUAAGACAGGCGUGAAAUCCCCGGGCUUAACCUGGGAACUGCAUCCAAAACUGGCGAGCUAGAGUACGGUAGAGGGUGGUGGAAUUUCCUGUGUAGCGGUGAAAUGCGUAGAUAUAGGAAGGAACACCAGUGGCGAAGGCGACCACCUGGACUGAUACUGACACUGAGGUGCGAAAGCGUGGGGAGCAAACAGG
rnacentral:rRNA from 1 species